CUUGACCAUUGCUAUCCUUGGGUGCAACUCCAAAAUCUGCCAACAAAGCGUCAAACUCAGCUUGUUCCUUCUGUUUCCUCUCUUUCUUGGAAAGCUGCCUCUCUGCCUCCUUAGGUGGUGCAGGAACUUCAGGAGCCUUUUUCACCUCAGGCUCUGCUUCUGGAUGAACUUGUGUCUCAUGCUCUUCCUCCAAAUCAUCAUCAUCAUCACCUUCAUCAAGAACAUCUUCUUCACUUUCACUUUCCUGCGAGAACAGGCACAUCUCAAUGAACAUUACAGACAACCAGGGCUCAAACUUAUACUGCCUAGAGAAAAUUCUAUAACAACAAAGUUCACAUUCCACUUAGAUAUAUGGGGCAACCUUCACCAUACAAAGCAAGAUUCAUUUUCCUCUAGGACAAUAAAACAACUACAAAACAUAAAAAUGCAAUAUUCUUAUCCAUCAUCAAUCCGUCAAUUACAAUGGGAAAUCAAAAGCAAAAUAGAAAGCUAGAACCACUGAAUGGUGGAGUGAUCAACGAGAGUAGUUUCAAGCAGUAUCACUCGAAGUAUGUGAAGUCUAAAGACGUUGAACACAAGCUAGAACCAUUGAACGCUCAAUCACUCAAAAGCAUGUGAAAUCUAAACACAGUGGAGACACCAGAAACGAACAUACACACAUGAAAGGUCUAGACUUUUCCAACCUCAACGUGAGCCUCUUUUGCAUCGGAAGCACUCCACAAGGGCUGAGGAGGAGGAGGAGCAGUGGUGGCGAAAUAGUCCUCAUCUUCAUCGUCACUAUCAAUAUCAGCCCAAGCCUUUGCCUUUAGAGGCGUAGGCGCCCAGAAGACCUGUGGCUCAGGCUCCUUAUUGACGGAGGAAGCUUUGGCCUUAUCGGACUUCUUCUUCUUCUUCCGAGUAUCCAAAGCGGCGAACAAGUUUGUGUUUUGAAUCGGCCGCAUCGAUCCUUCGUCUCUCCUGCUUCCUCCACCAACCAUCUCUUCUCCUCUCGAUUCAGAGAAGACGAAAGUGUGUUCCUUUACGAAACCCAGUAACGGAGAUUCGCGAUUGGAACGUUAAAAGAUUGAUCGAGAAAGUAGAAAUGAGGAGGAAGAGAUGAAGAGACGGAUCUUUUAUGUUAUUUAUUAUUAAGAAUGUUAUGGAUUAGUUAAAUCUAGACCGUUUAAUUAGUAACGCGCCGAGAUCGGACGGUAUCCGUUAACCCAAUUUUUAUAGUUCAACCUCAGUUUUUGUUUCUUCUGGUUCAGUAAUAUUUUCAAGCUCGGAGAUGUCAUCAGGAGUGUCUAUCUGGACAAAAGGUACAGUACUGAAAUCAAUGACAAGUUCUCAUGCAAAACAUUGGUAUGCUAAUUUCCUUUCUUUGUUCAUUACACUAAAGAUAAAAUGCUUCAUGUUAAAGAGUUAUUUUCACCCUAAGUGACUUUCUCAGUUUAUAUUACACUUUAGAACACUUUCAACUACCAAGGUAGUUCUUACAUGGUUGUUUACCUUGUUGUCCUUGGUUAAAACCAAACGAGAAUCAGUGUUUAGUGAUUCCUCUUCUUCAGUUAAUAUUCUUUUUAAAAUAAAUCAAUUUAAAAUUCUGGAACUGAAAGCAUAUUAAUAAAUUGGUUUUAACUUUCAUCUCUUAUCUUAUCUCUUUGCACAGUAACCUAAGCAAAACUUUGUUGAGAAAAGUUACGGAGAUUUACGACGGAGGCAAAGAAAUCUGACGACAGAGACAGUGGGCUAAGAUGGCAUUACGUCGGAAACGUUUGGCAUUGCAUCACACCAAAAUUGAAGUGUUAAAAAAGAGCCACUCAAUAAGCUAUCAAUGUAAUUGACAGCCACACCUGCUUCUUCUAAGCUUUUUUUUUAUCCUGUCAUAGUUAAAGAUGGUUUGUUUAUUGUUUGUAAUUUAAGGAAUUCAGUUACAUGAAUCUGUGGCUCGUAUAAAAUUAUAUGGACAACAAUCAGUGUACACUAAGAUGAUGAAUAUAUGAGUGUCCAUAUGGAUACAAUAGUUCUUGUACACCUUUUAUAGUGUCCACAUGGAUACUUUAAAAUUUCGACCUUUUUUAAUGUCAAUAAUGAUAUGGAAUUAUGGAUGCAUAGUUCUUGUGCACUUAUCUCUAUUUAUUUAAACUUCUUUCCAUCUCAUGAUCUUCAAACCUUACCAGAUAAGCUAACAUAUAUAUUUGAUCUCAUUCCAAAAAAAGAAUUUUAGAGUGUACAUGUGUACAAGCGUUGUUGUGUACAAAUGUUUUUGUACAUAUGUACAAGAUUGUAUUCUUGGUGUACACAUAUAUACAAAUGUAUAUUCAAACAACAUCGAAAAACAAAUUCAUGAUUUAAGUGGUCCAUCUGCAAAGUAUAUGACAAUAAUACAAGCACAAUAACUCAGACAUAUAAACUCUAGAUGCCAAACAAAGUUUAUUCUCCACCAAAAGACGUUACAUGAUUCCAACAAUGAGGCGUUAAACAAUCAAAAGUUCCAACAAUGGGAGUUUGGCUCCUAGUCUAGCUCACAUACUUGCGAUUAUAACUCAAAAAGAGAGAAGCUUUUCUUCUCUAUCUCUCUAAUGUGUAAACUGUAAUAAAUUAAGCUGUAAGCUGUAACCUUUCUGAGUGAGCCACCGUCGCGAAGCCCCAUAACUGGUAAAUUCAUGCAAGACGAAAAAGCAAAACGAAGAUUCUUGUCCUUUCAUGUUCUCAAGCUCAGUUCGUGAGCAGAGACAGAAUCUAAACGAGGAAUGGACAGAGUGAGGGCAUCUUAAGCUCAGUUCGUGUACUCAAAGCGUCUCCAUUUCUUCAAAUCAAUUACCAAAACUCUUGUAUUCCUUUAUCAAAAAAAAACUCUUGUAUUAGUAGCAAGGUGAACAUGUCUCGGAGAUGAGAAAGUGGAAGAAGAUGCUCUCAGGAUAAAGUGGGAGUUGGAGGAUGGAGUUGAGGGCUGCGACUGAGCGAUUCUGAAAUCAACACUGGAAAAGGGUUGCAGAUGACGGAAUUAACGCCGGAGAAUCUAUGUGGAUGAAAGAAGGAGGGCAGAUGCCGGAAUCAACGCCUGAGAAUCUGCAUCGACGGGAUGCGUUCAUGGCGGCUAACAAAUGGAUAUCGGAGGCAGGGUGUCUUAAAGAUAAUGAUUUAAGGCAACUUCUCUAAAAAAAAAUUAAAAGGAUUUUCAUUUACAAAAAGUAAAAGUGGGCUUUGAGUUUCUUGGUAAGGAUAGAACUAGGUUAAGUAAACUAAGAAAUAAAAAGGAUAGGGUUGUCAUUUUGUAUAAUCAAUGUGUAUGAUUUAGUGUGGGAAAGUACCUUAGGAGUGAAAAGUGACUUACCGUGUAAUAAAAAGAGGAAAAGUGACCUUUGGUGUAAAUGUUUCCAUGUUAAACUUGGCCAAAUCCAAUGUUCAGGGCCUUCAGGCUGUCAGGGAAAGCAAGAAAGCUAGUGCAAACUUCUUGGGAUCUAGAAGCUUAAACGCUGUGGAUAAAACAUUACAUUAAAGAUUUAAACUUCAAAAAUAUAGAGUUUUGGAAACUUCAAAAUAGAGUUUCUUUUUGGAAAUGCUCUAAGCAUCAAUGCGUCAAGAUGAAACAGAGGUUUCCAUCAUCAACCACUUCCCUUUAAUACUAUAUUAAGCUCUCCUUCUGCUAUUGGUCCUUGAUCAUUCUCUGUUUCAUCCAAAAGGGAAGUGGUUGAUGAUGGAAACCUCUGUUUAUCUAAUUUCAUUUAAUUUGAUCAUUCACUUCCCUUUAAUGUUAUGACCAUCCAAAAGAUUAUAAGUUUAUCUAAUUUCAUCGAUGGAACUUGUUCCAGUGCUCAUAGAUUGUAGACGACAAAACAAAUAUUUCCAGGAAACAACAGUUUAUAAUUAUUUUUCUUUAUAAUUGUCAUCUUUUGAAUUAAUUCAACACGUCAAAAAAAAAAAGAAGGAAGGAAGGCCAUGAUAUGAAAGAUAACAAAAAUAAAACAGUGUUAUUAAUUUAGUUAGAAAAUAUAUAAAUGAUCAUUCUCUCGGAGAACAUCAAGCUGCUCAACAUGUGCUCCAUCUACCAUCACAAUCGUGCUUCCCUGUUUCCCCAACUUCUUCUCUGCAUCCACCAUAUAUAUUGACACAGUAUAUAACUUACACUCCAGAACUGAUACCUGGUGACUUCUUGGCAACGGUUAGUGAAGAUAUGGUGAAAGUUUGGACGCUGGGGACAGGUAGUGAAGGAGAAUGUGUUCAUGAGCUAAGCUGCAAUGGCAACAAAUUCCAGUCUUGUGUUUUUCAUCCUACUUACCCUUCUCUACUCGUGAUUGGUUGUUACCAGGUAAGUUUGAUGUCAUCUUGAUCCGAAUAAUCAAAGCUUUACACAGUGUCUUCUGUUCUGCUGAACUUAGUGAAACUUGUGUGUUGCAGUCUUUAGAACUAUGGAACAUGUCAGAGAACAAGACGAUGGCGUUGCCUGCUCACGAAGGGUUAAUAGCGUCAUUGGCUGUUUCAACAGCAACUGGAUUGGUUGCAUCAGCUAGUCACGACAAGCUAGUGAAGCUGUGGAAGUGAAGAUCAAUGGGAGAAAAGGACAAGUUGGUUUAUGUUUAGGUACUAUUAUUCUUCACGGGGGGGUUCUUUUAACUUAUGUCACUCUUUGUAGUUCUUUCUCGGCCAAUCAUAUUCGAUCUCUAGAUAGUUUUUCAGAUGGUUAAACAAUGUUGCUGCUGUAUCAUCCGACGUAAUUGGGAUCUUGUGAAAACUGUUGUUGUAAUCUUAGUUUUUAACCUCUUUUACUGCAGCUCAGCUUAAUUUACUGAACACUCUUCUGUUUGGUUUGGUUCGGUUCACUUCUUAUUGCACUUCUUAUUGUAUUAGUAUGGACUGAAUAGGAUUAAAUAAAGUGACACUUCUCUGAGACGCAGCUAACCAGAUUACUUUAAGGUCAUUAGCUUUGCCUUCAGAAAGAGCUCACGUAGUCAAUAAAAAAUAACUUUCUUAGCAAUAGCAACAUCACAGCUUGAUGCAUAUGUUUCUUUAAAUGGUUCUAAAAGAAGCAAAGGAUCGAAGUCAUAUCUCUAAUAGUACGACCCAACUCCAUUCCUUUCAAGGCAAAGUCUCAUAUGAAUAAAAAAACACAAGUUCAUAUAUCAAAACGGGUGGGUGGUUGUUGGGUGAUUGAUUUCACCUCACUGGCUGUUGAUUGUAGUGAUUCUUCUCUUUCUUUUUCUUUGCAGCAGCCAGCUUUGCCUUCCUAGCAGCUGCUUCUUGUGCAGCAACUUUUGCAGCAGCAUCAGUCUCUUUGCUUGAUUUCUUCUUCUUCACUGAUGCAAUCUUCUUCAGCCGUUCUUUGAUAUCCAUGGAAGAAGAAGCCUCCUCGCUCUCCAGCUCACCGGACUCACCUGCAGCAGCAUCUGCGUUGCUCUUUACUUCAUCCUGAGAUUCUUUAACCUCCUUCUGUUUAUCCUUCUUUUUCUUCUUCUUUGAGACCUUUGAUUCCCCGGUUGUGUUCUCCUUCUUCUCUCCCUCUCCAUUGACUUCUUUCUUUUCUUGCUUUUCUGUUGGGCAUUGACAGAAGAAACUUUUAUCAGUACUGUCAAAUGAUUUUCUCAGCAAGUAAUAAGAAGCCAGUGAGCAGAAUAGUGUGAUACCUUGACCAUUGCUAUCCUUGGGUGCAACUCCAAAAUCUGCCAACAAAGCGUCAAACUCAGCUUGUUCCUUCUGUUUCCUCUCUUUCUUGGAAAGCUGCCUCUCUGCCUCCUUAGGUGGUGCAGGAACUUCAGGAGCCUUUUUCACCUCAGGCUCUGCUUCUGGAUGAACUUGUGUCUCAUGCUCUUCCUCCAAAUCAUCAUCAUCAUCACCUUCAUCAAGAACAUCUUCUUCACU
rnacentral:lncRNA from 1 species